rnacentral:rRNA from 1 species
AAGCGGAGGAGCAUGUGGUUUAAUUCGAUGAUACGCGAGGAGCCUUACCUGGCUUGAAAGUUAGUGACAUUCUGUGAAAGCAGAACUUCCGCAAGGACACGAAACUAGGUGCUGCAUGGCUGUCGUCAGCUCGUGCCGUGAGGUGUUGGGUUAAGUCCCGUAACGAGCGCAACCCCUAUCAUUAGUUGCCAUCAGGUCAUGCUGGGGACUCUAAUGAGACUGCCCGCGCAAGCGGUGAGGAAGGUGGGGACGACGUCAAGUCAUCACGGCCCUUACGUCCAGGGCUACACACGUGCUACAAUGGUAGAUACAGCAGGUUGCCACAUGGUAACAUGGAGCUAAUCCCAAAAGUCUAUCUCAGUUCGGAUUGAGGUCUGCAACUCGACCUCAUGAAGCUGGAUUCGCUAGUAAUCGAAAAUCAGCAAUGUUUCGGUGAAUACGUUCCCGGGCCUU